rnacentral:rRNA from 1 species
ACGGGUGAGUAACGCGUGGGAACGUGCCCUUUUCUGCGGAAUAGCCUCGGGAAACUGAGAGUAAUACCGCAUACGCCCUUUGGGGGAAAGAUUUAUCGGAGAAGGAUCGGCCCGCGUUGGAUUAGGUAGUUGGUGGGGUAACGGCCUACCAAGCCUUCGAUCCAUAGCUGGUUUGAGAGGAUGAUCAGCCACACUGGGACUGAGACACGGCCCAGACUCCUACGGGAGGCAGCAGUGGGGAAUCUUAGACAAUGGGGGCAACCCUGAUCUAGCCAUGCCGCGUGAGUGAUGAAGGCCUUAGGGUUGUAAAGCUCUUUCAGCUGGGAAGAUAAUGACGGUACCAGCAGAAGAAGCCCCGGCUAACUCCGUGCCAGCAGCCGCGGUAAUACGGAGGGGGCUAGCGUUGUUCGGAAUUACUGGGCGUAAAGCGCACGUAGGCGGACCGGAAAGUUGGGGGUGAAAUCCCGGGGCUCAACCUCGGAACUGCCUUCAAAACUAUCGGUCUGGAGUUCGAGAGAGGUGAGUGGAAUUCCGAGUGUAGAGGUGAAAUUCGUAGAUAUUCGGAGGAACACCAGUGGCGAAGG